AACGAACGCUGGCGGCAUGCCUAACACAUGCAAGUCGAGCGAGCACUUCGGUCCUAGCGGCGGACGGGUGUGUAACGCGUGGGAACGUGCCCUUUGCUUCGGAAUAGCCAUGGGAAACUGGGAGUAAUACCGGAUGAGCGCUUUGGGGGAAAGAUUUCUCGGGGUAGGAUCGGCCCGCGUUGGAGUAGGUAGUUGGUGUGGUAAUGGCCUACCAAGCCGACGAUCCAUAGCUGGUUUGAGAGGAUGAUCAGCCACACUGGGACUGAGACACGGCCCAGACUCUUACGCGAUGCAGCAGUGCCGAAUCUUAGACAACGGCGGAAACCCUGAUCUAGCCAUGCCGCGUGAGCGAUGAAGGCAUGAGGGUUGUAAAGCUCUUUCAGCUGGGCAGAUCAUGACGGUACCAGCAGAAGAAGCCCCGGCUAACUCCGUG
rnacentral:rRNA from 1 species